rnacentral:misc_RNA from 1 species
AACUGAUACUACCUGCGGGAACCUGCGGAAGGAUCAUUACCGAGUGUUGGGGUCUCUCAGGCCCCUUACUCCCACCCCAUGUGUACCUACCUUUCUUCAGUUGCCUUGGCGGGUCCCUCCCCUCAGCGGGAGGGGUUCAGCCCGCCAGGGGGACUCCCCUUAAACUCUUGAACUUGGGUCGUCUGAGAAAGCAAUCAAAUGAAUGAAAACUUUUAGCAAUGGAUCUCUAGAUCGGAAGAG